rnacentral:snRNA from 1 species
AUCACUUCUCAGCCUUUUGGCUAAGAUCACAUGUAGUAUCUGUUCUUACCAGUUUAAUAUCUGACAUGUCCUCUAUUCAAAGACAAUAUAUUAAAUGUAUUUUUGGAGAAGGGAGAUGAAAUAGGAGCUUGCUCCAUCCACUCCACACAUCAACCUGGUCUUGCAGUACCUCCAGGAACAGAGCACCCCUA